rnacentral:precursor_RNA from 1 species
UGCAGAGAAGGCUUCAGAGGUCAAUUUCAAUGGUGAUCAUGAUGAUUAUGUUCUGUUGACAGAAGAUAGAGAGCACAACUGAACAUACCUAAGAGGGCUUGUGUUUGAGCAGUCUUGU